AGCUAGUUGGUGGGGUAAAAGCUCACCAAGGCGACGAUCUGUAGCGGGUCUGAGAGGAUGAUCCGCCACACUGGAACUGAGACACGGUCCAGACUCCUACGGGAGGCAGCAGUGGGGAAUUUUGGACAAUGGGGGCAACCCUGAUCCAGCCAUGCCGCGUGAGUGAAGAAGGCCUUCGGGUUGUAAAGCUCUUUCGGCCGGGAAGAAAUCGUAUCAGCUAAUACCUGGUGCGGAUGACGGUACCGGCAUAAGAAGCACCGGCUAACUACGUGCCAGCAGCCGCGGUAAUACGUAGGGUGCGAGCGUUAAUCGGAAUUACUGGGCGUAAAGCGUGCGCAGGCGGUUUUGUAAGACAGGCGUGAAAUCCCCGGGCUCAACCUGGGAACUGCGUUUGUGACUGCAAGGCUAGAGUACGGCAGAGGGGGGUGGAAUUCCACGUGUAGCAGUGAAAUGCGUAGAGAUGUGGAGGAACACCAAUGGCGAAGGCAGCCCCCUGGGUCGAUACUGACGCUCAUGCACGAAAGCGUGGGUAGCAAACAGGAUUAGAUACCCUGGUAGUCCACGCCCUAAACGAUGUCAACUAGGUGUUGGGAGGGUAAAACCUUUUAGUACCGGAGCUAACGCGUGAAGUUGACCGCCUGGGGAGUACGGCCGCAAGGUUAAAACUCAAAGGAAUUGACGGGGACCCGCACAAGCGGUGGAUGAUGUGGAUUAAUUCGAUGCAACGCGAAAAACCUUACCUACCCUUGACAUGUCAGGAACUUUCCAGAGAUGGAUUGGUGCUCGAAAGAGAACCUGAACACAGGUGCUUCAUGGCUGUCGUCAGCUCGUGUCGUGAGAUGUUGGGUUAAGUCCCGCAACGAGCGCAACCCUUGUCGUUAAUUGCCAUCAUUAAGUUGGGCACUUUAGCGAGACUGCCGGUGACAAACCGGAGGAAGGUGGGGAUGACGUCAAGUCCUCAUGGCCCUUAUGGGUAGGGCUUCACACGUCAUACAAUGGUCGGUACAAAGGGUCGCCAACCCGCGAGGGGGAGCUAAUCCCAGAAAGCCGAUCGUAGUCCGGAUUGCAGGCUGCAACUCGCCUGCAUGAAGUCGGAAUCGCUAGUAAUCGUGGAUCAGCAUGUCACGGUGAAUACGUUCCCGGGUCUUGUACACACCGCCCGUCACACCAUGGGAGCGGGUUCCGCCAGAAGUAGGUAGCCUAACCGCAAGGAGGGCGCUUACCACGGCGGGGUUCGUGACUGGGGUGAAGUCGUAACAAGGUAGCCGUAGGGGAACCUGCGGCUG
rnacentral:rRNA from 1 species